CAGCUGAUCCCUCCGUUCCGAAUUACUUGUCUUGGAUUUGUCUGAUACGGAUGUAUCUAGACUCAUUUUAGUGAUAGAUACCUCCGUAUCUAGACAAAUUUAAAACUAAGUAAUUCGGAACGGAGGGAGUAGGUG
rfam:Triticum aestivum genome assembly, contig: Triticum_aestivum_CS42_TGACv1_scaffold_210656_3AS